rnacentral:lncRNA from 10 species
CCAGGGACCGCAGGCAGUUGGCAUCUGCUCUUUGAAAAGGUAUUUAUCUUUCCACUCACUGAGAGCAAGCGAGAGCCAUAUAAGGACAUGCCCAACGUCAGGUGCACAAGCGUUGCAGAGACAGAUGUCAUUCAUACGCAGUGACCAGACAUGGCCGUUAACUGCCAGGAACACCCACCUCCACUCCCCCAAGAGCAUGGCGGGUACACUGCUGAGCAAGGAGCUCUCAGCUGGGCCACAGGUGUGGGGUCGCCUCUCCCAGUGUCUGGGAAAGCCAGGGCUCCAUAAACACAGGGCCAGGUGUGGUCCAGCCCCGAGAGCCACUGGAGGUUCUCAGCAGUAUUCAUGAACAGCCCUACAAGCCUGAAAU